UAUUCUGCCCCAUAGGGAAGGAUGAGAAGCUUCGACUAAGGUUCGACUCGAGCGAAGCGAGAGAACGUUGCCGCAGGCAACGGCCCGAAGGGCGAGGCGCUUUAGCGCCGAGUAAUCCUUCCCCCACCAUCA
rnacentral:sRNA from 1 species